GUCUCAGAUAGCUUAGCUGGAAGAGCGCUUGGUGCAUAACCAAAAGAUCUGGUUUCGAUCCCCGGUCCGGGCU
rnacentral:tRNA from 1 species